AACUCGCUCCCUGAUUCAUCGCUCUCUUUACUCGAACUUAUGCAUAAGAUACCUACAACCGGAAGUUGUCUUCCCAAGAGGUCGCUCCCGUCGUACGUCCCAAGCCCCAAGACGUCGAUUCGAUUUUCCUUAAGACGUCGAUUCAAUCUCCAAGGUGAGAUUCAUCGUUCAAAACAUAAUGUUAUACGGUUGGGGUUCCACUCGAUUCUUGAUUCCAUCUCCACUUCUGAUUCGAUUCUCGAUCUCCAAGAGAUAUUGGAAUAUACAUGAGUAAUUUUCUUCAUCUCCAUUUCGAUCGUUUCGAGAAACUAGGGAUUCCAUUMACUGAUUAUGUUGACUUGGUGGGAGCAAAUUGAUAGCGGCAAACAGCUCACUUGCAAC